rnacentral:rRNA from 1 species
AUGCUGCUGCUGGAGACGGUCGCGGCGGUGCCACCCAUGGUGGGCGGCGUGCUGCUGCACCUGCGCUCGCUCCGCCGCUUCGAGCACAACGGCGGCUGGAUCCGCGCGCUCAUGGAGGAGGCCCAGAACGAGCGCAUGCAUCUCAUGACCUUCAUGGAGGUGACGCAGCCCUUGUGGUGCGAGCGCGCGCUCGUGCUCCCCACCCAGGGUGUCUUUUUCAACGCCUACUUCAUCGGGUACCUCGUCUCCCCCAAGUUCGCGCACCGCUUCGUCGGCUACCUCGAGGAGGAGGCCGUACACUGA